rnacentral:rRNA from 1 species
GACGAACGCUGGCGGCGUGCCUAACACAUGCAAGUGGAGCGACGAACCAGGCUUCGGCCUGGGGCAAAGCCGCGAACGGGUGAGUAACACGUGGGUAACCUGCCCUGAUGAUUGGGACAACCGAGGAAACUCGGGCUAAUACCAAAUGUGCCCUUCGGCCACAAGGCCGCUGGGGAAAGGAAGCUUCGGCCUCCGCAUCUGGAUGGGCCCGCGGCCCAUUAGCUUGUUGGUGAGGUAACGCUCACCAAGGCGACGAUGGGUAGCUGGUCUGAGAGGACGAUCAGCC